rnacentral:rRNA from 1 species
GCGGGGGGAGGCCCUUACCAUUGCAAGUUCGAGCGAGGACUUCGGUCCUAGCGGCGGACGGGUGAGUAACGCGUGGGAAUGUGCCCUUUGCUACGGAAUAGCCCCGGGAAACUGGGAGUAAUACCGUAUGUGCCCUUCGGGGGAAAGAUUUAUCGGCAAAGGAUCGGCCCGCGUUGGAUUAGGUAGUUGGUGGGGUAACGGCCCACCAAGCCGACGAUCCAUAGCUGGUUUGAGAGGAUGAUCAGCCACACUGGGACUGAGACACGGCCCAGACUCCUACGGGAGGCAGCAGUGGGGAAUCUUAGACAAUGGGGGAAACCCUGAUCUAGCCAUGCCGCGUGAGCGAUGAAGGCCUUAGGGUUGUAAAGCUCUUUCAGCUGGGAAGAUAAUGACGGUACCAGCAGAAGAAGCCCCGGCUAACUCCGUGCCAGCAGCCGCGGUAAUACGGAGGGGGCUAGCGUUGUUCGGAAUUACUGGGCGUAAAGCGCACGUAGGCGGAUUGGAAAGUUGGGGGUGAAAUCCCGGGGCUCAACCUCGGAACUGCCUCCGAAACUCCCAGUCUUGAGGUCGAGAGAGGUGAGUGGAAUUCCGAGUGUAUAGGUGAAA